rnacentral:piRNA from 1 species
UCAUUUUCAAAAACCGUAUCG